rnacentral:rRNA from 1 species
UAACGGGCGCAACCCUCGCUGUGUGUUACAAGUGUCACACGGUACUGCCGGUCUUAAGCCGGAGGAAGGUGGGGAUGACGUCAAGUCAGCAUGGCCUUUAUGUCCUGGGCUACACACACGCUACAAUGGCCAACACAAUAGGUUGCUAAGCCGCGAGGUGGAGCCAAUCCUCAAAGUUGGUCUCAGUUCAGAUUGCAGGCUGCAACCCGCCUGCAUGAAGAUGGAGUUGCUAGUAACCGCAGGUCAGCUAUACUGCGGUGAAUACGUUCCCGGGGCUU